rnacentral:rRNA from 1 species
AGACCCGAAACCCGGUGAUCUAGCCAUGGGCAGGUUGAAGGUUGGGUAACACUAACUGGAGGACCGAACCGACUAAUGUUGAAAAAUUAGCGGAUGACCUGUGGCUGGGGGUGAAAGGCCAAUCAAACCGGGAGAUAGCUGGUUCUCCCCGAAAGCUAUUUAGGUAGCGCCUCGUGAAUUCAUCUCCGGGGGUAGAGCACUGUUUCGGCUAGGGGGCCAUCCCGGCUUACCAACCCGAUGCAAACUGCGAAUACCGGAGAAUGUUAUCACGGGAGACACACGGCGGGUGCUAACGUCCGUCGUGAAGAGGGAAACAACCCAGACCGCCAGCUAAGGUCCCAAAGUCAUGGUUAAGUGGGAAACGAUGUGGGAAGGCCCAGACAGCCAGGAUGUUGGCUUAGAAGCAGCCAUCAUUUAAAGAAAGCGUAAUAGCUCACUGGUCGAGUCGGCCUGCGCGGAAGAUGUAACGGGGCUAAACCAUGCACCGAAGCUGCGGCAGCGACACUCAGGUGUUGUUGGGUAGGGGAGCGUUCUGUAAGCCUGCGAAGGUGGCCUGUGAGGGUUGCUGGAGGUAUCAGAAGUGCGAAUGCUGACAUAAGUAACGAUAAAGCGGGUGAAAAGCCCGCUCGCCGGAAGACCAAGGGUUCCUGUCCAACGUUAAUCGGGGCAGGGUGAGUCGACCCCUAAGGCGAGGCCGAAAGGCGUAGUCGAUGGGAAACGGGUUAAUAUUCCCGUACUUGGUGUUACUGCGAAGGGGGGACGGAGAAGGCUAUGUUGGCCGGGCGACGGUUGUCCCGGUUUAAGCGUGUAGGUGUGUGUUC